ACAGCAACUACACUCGACGCAUCCUGGGCGAUCAACUGCCUGCAGUGCACAGCCGGAAAGAGCUCGGCACUGAAGAUAUCAGCGGCCGUCAAGGGAAACAUGUCAUAGGCCGAAGUCGAAGCCACGACCCGAAGGUUCGAAAAGGCUGCGACGAUAGAAACGGAGAAGGUGGAAGACCACGCGGCGCUGUGGAGAUGGUGGGAAGACGAGGAGCCUUGUGAGAGCGACGCCAAGAGGCGCAAGAAGUGGCACACGCUGGAACACAGGGGACCGCUGUUCGCGCCGCCGUACGAGCGAUUACCGCGCCACGUGCACUUCUAC